GGAAGUGGGGGGCUGCGGCGGGAGGUGAGGGCCGCCUGCCUGGCCGGACCCCAGGGGUGUCGGACGGUGGGCAGGGCCUCCUGGGAUCCCUGAGGCGCCGGCAGGAGGAGACGCCCUGGGGUCGGUGCCUCCACCUUCCCGUCCGGGCGGUUACAGCUUUCCCGCGUUCGCUGUCAGAGGCAGGGACCGGCGACCUCGGGGGCCUGGUCCCUGAGCCACAGCGGGGAGUCGUCCGAGCAUCUCGGGAUGAGGAAGGCCCAGCUCCCCUGCUGCUGUCAGAGUGUCCUGCUUCCCCCCCUCAGGAAAGCACACCUUUCCUGGUCUCCUCCUCCCUGGAAUCUUGAACUCUGGUGAAGAACAUGGUGAAAUGUUCCAAGUGUAGCAGGGGCGUUACUGAAAGGGAAAAUCGUAACCGAUCAAGUUGAAUCAAAAAAGAGGAAAGAAAGCCCAUCGCGUGUGACAGACAAGAAAGUGCUACCGUUAAAAGGCAAACAGUUCUAGAGUGUGCAAACAUUUGCAGUCCCUCUGCUGAUGAUCCUGGGUUUGGUUUGGCUGGGCUUGAGCAAAUGAAAAGGAACCAGGACGGUGCUCCAGCUUUCUGGGGAUCCUCCUCCAGCAUCGCCAAAGCCUGGGCCGGGCGCAUCCACUUAACUCACGGGGCAGGCUCCCAGUUUUUGAAGGAUCUUCACACCGCCUCCAGCAGCAGCCGCCUUAUAGACACUGCUUAGCCCGGUCCUGCACUUGCUCAGGUCCGGUCUCUGUAACAGAACACACGCGCAUCUCGUGAUGGUGCUUCUCUGAUGGAGCCUUAGCCGAUGCGCAGAAGUAGACAACUGUGUUGGGGCGGAGGAGGUGCCCUGAACUCCAGCUCAGCCCUCCUCCUCCCAAGCCCUUCCAUCCUAGGAUCAACAGGAGCCUGUGACUGACUACAGCAGGAGAGCAGGCGUGGCAUGGAUCCCGUGCAAGCCGGCAGUGGAGACCCAGCGCCUGAGAGUGACGUGGGGAACUAGCAGGAGCUAGAAGUGACUUAGGACGAGCUUUUGUAAAGCGGAGGUGUGAGUGUAAUAUCAGGAUGAUUUGACUGCAAGCAACAGAGAAUCAAACAGAAAUGGCCUAGGGAGUCCCUUCGUGGCUCCCCAGUUAACAAUCUGACUGGAUCAUGAGGAUGCAGGUUCAAUCCCCGGCCUCUAUCAGUGGGUGAAGGAUCUAGUGCUACCAUGAGCUGUGCUGUGGUGUAGGCUGGCGGCCGCAGCUCCAGUUGGACCCCUAGCCCGGGAACUUCCAUAUGCUGUGGGUGCAGCCCUAAAAAGCAAAAACAAACAAAAAAAUGAAACAAAACAAAACAAAAAAUCCACAAAAAAAAUCAGAAAUGGCCUAAACAAAGAAGAAAACGUGUUAUCCCAUACUACAAGAAGUUUGGGGAUUGAGUGAGUGGUUAAAUGCAUGAUUAGUUUAGAAACUUGACAGCACCACCCAGGACCCAUUUUCCCUAAGGCGCUGCUGCCCCCCACCCUGUAGGCUUAGCCACCGCAGCAAAGACACCCCCCUUCCCCAACCAGAGCCCUGCGUCAGGACUGGAAGGGGCCUCCUUCCCUCCAUCCCCUUCCAGAACCUCCGCAGAAGACUCCCCUUGACGUCUCAUUCCAUCCCAUACUGGUCACUUUGCAGGGGAACGGAUUUACCAUGGUGGCCAGAGACAAUUAAGUCGCCCCCAUCUCUGGAGAACACUUGACCACUCAGUACCCAGCAACUCGGGUACUCCUGGCAAGAAAGAGACAGGUGAUACCCACUGGGUCCUGUCCACAGCGCCUGCCCCCAGCAACCUGUCUACCUGGAAAACUGAGGGGGUGCCACGCGGGUCUGUGUCUUCUCUGUAGUUUGCCCGAGUCUUUCCCAUUAGGUAAGUGUCGCCCUUUUCCCUCUUUGCGGCUUUCCUCCUUGGCACGUCACCCAGGUUUUGUUCAGCCACAAGGGGCGAUAGGCUGAAAGAGGAAUCUCCAGGCCUAGGUGAUGGGCCAGCCGUGGUGAUCCUCACCCGUUUGCCUGGGCACCGUUUGGGAAACGUCCCCCUGCUCACCACGGAGAUGAAAGACCAGGUCCCUGGAGGGGCUUCGCGGAAGGAUUUUUCUCCCCAGUAAAGCGGCAGACAAGCCAAGGGUCCGCCGCCCUACGCGCCGUCUGCCUUUGAGCCGCCGCCAGCUCACAUCCUUGAGCAGAAACGUUGCAGGGAGGCAGAAAGCGCCGAGUCUCAUGGAUCGUGCUGAGCGUUGCAUCCACCCAGGACUGCUUACCUUCAGACUUCUGCUCCGGUGGCAGAGCAGCAAACCCCUAUUGUGUAAGCCUUUGUAGAUGGCUGGUGCCACUUGCUGCUGAAAGUGACAGAUAAUCUUUCUAGGAAUAUAACCCCUAAAGCCCUUUAUGGUAACAGAUGCACUUAGAGAAUGUAGUUUUCUUUCUUUUUCUUACUUAAAAAAAAAAAAAAAAAAAAAGAUGAAGUCUGCCUCAGGCAAAAAGACAAACUGAAAACAUAUGUAUGCAUAAUUGAAGUGCAAUCAAUAUUCAUUAGAAAAUGAACGAAUGUUCUUCAAGUUACUUUAAUAGUUUUCUCGGGGAAUCUGUUUUUGGAUACGUAUGUCAGCUACAAUAUUUGGCACUUCCAGGAGCUCUGUGUUGAUGUCCUUCCUAGAAGUUGCACUUCUGCGCAUUUUUCUGCGCCUUUGGGGUCUCAGAUGUUCCUGGAAGGAAUCACUUUUCACUCCCCUGGCUUUUCCCUCGAACAGGUAACUUGUAACUUGCUGUUGCCUAUAGAUAUCGAGCAUUUGUCCAAAAAUAUGUUCCUACAAUACCUUCCUGUCUCAGCCAUUCCAUUCACAAGACAGUUUAAACAUUUCUCCAUGCUAUUCCACAGAUCAUUCAUAGAGGAACCAUCUGAACCAUGCAACAAAGUCUAGAAACUUUUAUGACUUUUAACUUCCACGACAAGUUAUCAUGUACUUGGUACCCUCAGCCAGGUACAUGUUAAGCUCAGGUUUCAUGUAUGUUAGCGUGGAGCCAUAUUUCCUUGUGGAUAAACCUAUAGAUUUAUCCCCACCCCCGCUUCCCUUCCCAGAAGUAACUGUUGCCUUGACAACAGGGUAAGGACAGCAGUGAUGACGGCUGUGAUAACGAUUAUGAUAAUGAUGGCAGGAGAAACUGUAUGCUGGCCAUUAUCUAAGCACUUUACAUGCAUUAGCUCCUUUAACGCCCAAGGAGGCAUGUGACAGAAAUGCUAUUUUUAUCCCCGUGUUAGAGAUGAGGGCUGAGGAAAGACUGGUGAGGUGCCUUGCCCAAGGCCACACGUCUGGUCCCCAGAGAAGCCAGGCUUCCUACCCAGGCAACCCAGGGGUCCCAUACACUGUCGCUGCCUGAUAGGUAGCAGUGGUGGUGAUACACACUUCCUCUAGGUACAUGCGCAUCCAUAAUAAAGACGCAGUAGACUUAUUUGCA
rnacentral:lncRNA from 1 species